rnacentral:rRNA from 1 species
UACAGAGGUCUCAAGCGUUGUUCGGAUUCAUUGGGCGUAAAGGGUGCGUAGGCGGCGAGGUAAGUCGGAUGUGAAAUCCCGGGGCUCAACCCUGGAACUGCAUUCGAUACUGCCUUGCUCGAGGACUCGAGAGGAGAUUGGAAUUCACGGUGUAGCAGUGAAAUGCGUAGAGAUCGUGAGGAAGACCAGUGGCGAAGGCGGGUCUCUGGACAGUUCCUGACACUGAGGCACGAAGGCCAGGGGAGCAAACGGG